rnacentral:rRNA from 1 species
CCAGACUCCUACGGGAGGCAGCAGUGGGGAAUAUUGCACAAUGGGGGAAACCCUGAUGCAGCAGCGCCGCGUGAGUGAAGAAGUAUUUCGGUAUGUAAAGCUCUAUCAGCAGGGAAGAAAGAAAUGACGGUACCUGACUAAGAAGCCCCGGCUAACUACGUGCCAGCAGCCGCGGUAAUACGUAGGGGGCAAGCGUUAUCCGGAUUUACUGGGUGUAAAGGGAGCGUAGACGGCGAUGCAAGUCUGAAGUGAAAGGCGGGGGCACAACCCCCGGACUGCUUUGGAAACUGUAUAGCUGGAGUGCAGGAGAGGUAAGUGGAAUUCCUAGUGUAGCGGUGAAAUGCGUACAUAUUAGGAGGAAC